rnacentral:rRNA from 1 species
GCUAACCAUUAGCUCCACCAUCAAACAACUCAAUUAUUAAAUACUAAUUCUCAAAACAUUUAUUCAUCCCAGUAUAGGAGAUAGAAAAGAACCAUGGACGCAAUAAUGCAAGUACCGUAAGGGAAAUCUGAAAGACCAAUUAUAGCACCUAAAAGCAAAGACUUAUCCUUGUACCUUUCGCAUAAUGAUUUAGCCAGCAUAACCGAGCAAAACGAAUUAAGCCCGACUUCCCGAAAUCAAGUGAGCUACUAUAAAACAGCUAUUCAGAGCCAACUCUUCUAUGUAGCAAAAUAGUGAGAAGAUUUUAUAGUAGAAGUGAAAAGCCUAUCGAACUUGAAGAUAGCUGGUUGUCCAAAACACGAAUUUUAGUUCAACUUUAAAUCUAACUAAUGCAUACAUCCAAAGCAUAACUUAAAUUUAAAAGCUAAUCAAAGGGGGUACAUCCCUUUUGAUCAAGUAGACAAACUUCCCUAGAGGAUACUGACUCACAAAAAUACAUCGUAGGCCCAAAAGCAGCCACCAAUUAAGAAAGCGUUAAAGCUCAAACCCACAAUCACCCCCUGAUUUCUAACAUAAUACCAAAUUCCCUAAACCUACAUUGGACGACUCUAUAAAUCUAUAGAAGACAUUCUGCUAAAAUCAGUAACAAGAAAUAUUUCUCCCAGCACAAGCCUACAUUAGCAACGGAACAAUCCACUAACAAUUAACAAUAACAAUAACUACAAGCUAUUCUACAAGUAAAUUAAUUUAAUCAAUUGUUAAUCCAACACAGGAGUGCACAAGGGAAAGAUUAAAAAGAAUAAAAGGAACUCAGCAAGCACAAACCUCGCCUGUUUACCAAAAACAUCACCUCUAGAAUCCUAAAUAUUAGAGGCAACGCCUGCCCAGUGAAUUCAACUUUAACGGCCGCGGUAUCCUGACCGUGCAAAGGUAGCAUAAUCACUUGUCUCUUAAAUAGAGACUUGUAUGAAUGGCAUCACGAAGGUUUAACUGUCUCUUAUCCUUAAUCAGUGAAAUUGACCUUCCCGUGCAGAGGCGGGAAUAUUAUUACAAGACGAGAAGACCCUGUGGAGCUUAAGACAAGUCAUCUAUGAAUACUCCCACUAAACCUAAAGGAACAAAAUCAUAUUCAUCCAGAUUACAAAUCUUUGGUUGGGGUGACCUCGGAGCACAAAAUAACCUCCGAACGAUUAAACCCAGAUUCACUAAUCUAAGUGUAAAAACCAAUAAUUGACCCAAGUAUUGAUCAACGGACCAAGUUACCCCAGGGAUAACAGCGCAAUCCUAUUAAAGAGCCCAUAUCGACAAUUAGGGUUUACGACCUCGAUGUUGGAUCAGGACAUCCAAAUGGUGCAACCGCUAUUAAUGGUUCGUUUGUUCAACGAUUAAAGUCCUACGUGAUCUGAGUUCAGACCGGAGAAAUCCAGGUCGGUUUCUAUCUGUAUAUUAACUUCUCCUAGUACGAAAGGACAAGAGAAGUAAGGCCCACAUUAUAAAUGAGCCUUAAAACAAGAUAUGAAUAAAUCUUAAUAUCUUACAACCAUACCUUUACACUCUAGAAAUAGAGCCA